UACGUAGGGGGCAAGCGUUGUCCGGAAUUACUGGGCGUAAAGCGUGCGUAGGCGGUUCGUUAAGUGCGUCGUGAAAGCCCCGGGCUCAACCUGGGAAUGGCGAUGGAAACUGGCGGGCUGGAGUAUGGCAGAGGGGGGUGGAAUUCCGCGUGUAGCAGUGAAAUGCGUAGAGAUGCGGAGGAACACCGAUGGCGAAGGCAGCCCCCUGGGCCAAUACUGACGCUCAGGCACGAAAGCGUGGGGAGCAAACAGG
rnacentral:rRNA from 1 species